rnacentral:lncRNA from 1 species
UGGUGGUUGGUACUAUUUUUUUUCUUUUUCAAUAUGUUUUCUUUUUUCUUAUUCUUUUCUCUUUCUUCAAGGACCCACAUGGCACAUUAUCUUCUUUCUUGGUACCCGCGUAGCAGCGGUUACUUAUUUAAGUAACCCAUACUUACUUGUUAUAUUUAUCUCUCCUCCUCAUUGGCUAGUAUCUUCUUGGUACCCAUGUAGCAACAAGUAAGACAUCUUCAACAGGGCACGCGUAUAGGGUCCAUGUCAUCACUUAUCUCUUUAUUUUAAUCUCAUCUCUCUUUUAUUAUAUAGAGGACAUUUAUUUUAUAUUUUUCUCUUUCCUAGCAGGUCCACUGUCAUCCUCUUUUCCAGUCUUGGUGCCCAUGU